CUGGCGGCGUGCUUCAUACAUGCAAGUCGAACGAUAAGGCACCUUCGGGUGUACAUAAGUGGCGGACGGGUGAGUAAUAUGUAGAGAAUCUGCCCUAGAGAGCGGGACAACAGUUGGAAACGACUGCUAAUACCGCAUAUGAGCGUAGCUGAAGUGCUAUUCUUGAAAACUCCGGUGCUCUGGGAUGAGUCUGCAUCUGAUUAGCUAGUUGGGGGUGUAAUGGACCACCAAGGCGACGAUCAGUAGCUGGUUUGAGAGGAUGAUCAGCCACAAUGGGACUGAGACACGGCCCAUACUCCUACGGGAGGCAGCAGUAGGGAAUUUUGCGCAAUGGGGGAAACCCUGACGCCAGCAACGCCGCGUGACCGAUGAAGCCCUUCGGGGUGUAAAGGUCUGUCAGUGGGGACGAAUAUUGACGGUACCCACAGAGGAAGCAUCGGCUAACUCCGUGCCAGCCGCAGC
rnacentral:rRNA from 1 species